GAAAUGCGAUAAGUAAUGUGAAUUGCAGAUCUUCGUGAAUCAUCGAAUCUUUGAACGCAUAUUGCGCUCUGUGGUAUUCCGCAGAGCAUGCCUGUUUGAGUAUCAGAAAGCCCAAUCUCACCUGUGGGUGGGGAAAUGAGUUGAAUAAACCCUUCCUUUUUGCAGAAAGGGCAACUUGAAAUGUAGCUAAUGGAGAAGUAAUCCGGUCAUUAACGCGAUAGUUUUGUCACAAAAACAAAUUCGUUUUCUGACUUGGUAACAACGCUCCUAGGAGAUUUUAUUUUCACAAAUCUUGAUCUCAAAUCAGGUAGGACUACCCGCUGAACUUAA
rnacentral:misc_RNA from 1 species